rnacentral:rRNA from 1 species
AGAAUCAACGCUGGCGGCGUGCCUAACACAUGCAAGUCGAACGAGAAAGUGGGAGCAAUCCCACGAGUAAAGUGGCGCACGGGUGAGUAACACGUGACUAACCUACCCUUGAGUGGGGGAUAACCUAGGGAAACCUGGGCUAAUACCGCAUAAUACCUACGGGUCAAAGGAGCAAUUCGCUUUAGGAGGGGGUCGCGGCAGAUUAGUUAGUUGGCGGGGUAAUGGCCCACCAAGACAGUGAUCUGUAUCCGGCCUGAGAGGGCGCACGGACACACUGGAACUGAAACACGGUCCAGACUCCUACGGGAGGCAGCAGUGGGGAAUUUGCGCAAUGGGGGAAACCCUGACGCAGCAACGCCGCGUGGAGGAUGAAGCCCCUUGGGGCGUAAACUCCUUUCGAUCGGGAAGAUAAUGACGGUACCGGAAGAAGAAGCCCCGGCUAACUUCGCGCCAGCAGCCGC